GCGGCGGCCGCGGCGCCGCGGCGCUGCCCGCCGGCUGCAAGCACGAUGGGCGGCCCCGAGGGGCUGGCAGGGCGGCGGGCGCCGCCGAGGGCAAGGUGGUGUGCAGCAGCCUGGAACUCGCGCAGGUCCUGCCCCCAGAUACUCUGCCCAACCGCACGGUCACCCUGAUUCUGAGUAACAAUAAGAUAUCCGAGCUGAAGAAUGGCUCAUUUUCUGGGUUAAGUCUCCUUGAAAGAUUGCUGUACAGGAAGCAUCGAGCUGGCAUCUGCUCGGCUUCCAAGGAGGCCUCAGGAAGCUUACAAUCAUGGUGGAAGGCCAAGCUUGCAUGUCACAUGGCGAAAACAGAAGCCAGGAUGUGAUGUCAAGGGGAAAAACACUAGUAUAAACUUUGAUAUUUUAUUCAGAUGUCUUUGAAUGUGAUAUAUUUGUAAAUAUAUAUUUUUCUUAGCA
rnacentral:sRNA from 1 species